rnacentral:rRNA from 1 species
CCUACGAGAGGCAGCAGUGGGGAAUAUUGCACAAUGGGGGAAACCCUGAUGCAGCGACGCCGCGUGAGUGAAGAAGUAAUUCGUUAUGUAAAGCUCUAUCAGCAGGGAAGAAAAUGACGGUACCUGAGUAAAAAGCCCCGGCUAACUACGUGCCAGCAGCCGCGGUAAUACGUAGGGGGCAAGAGUUAGCCGGAUUUACUGGGUGGAAAGUGAGCGUAGACGGCAGGGCAAGUCGGGAGUGAAAGGCGGGGGCUCAACCUCGGGACUGCUCAGGAAACUGUACGGCUAGAGUGCAUGAGAGGUAAGUGGAAUUCCAAGUGUAGCAGUGAAAUGCGUAGAUAUGAGGAGGAACACCGGUGGCGAAGGCGGCUUACUGGAACGUAACUGACGUUGAGGCGCGAAAGCGUGGGGAGCAAACAGGAUUAGAUACCCGAGUAGUC